GUGCCCUUGGUGUACGGAAAUACACAUCUUUCCAUUAUCCCUUCUCGAUGCUACAAGAUGAGUCCGGGGUUCGACUCCCUGAGGGUGCA